rnacentral:rRNA from 1 species
ACAUGCCUACAACAUAGCGUUAAUGCAAUAGAUCCCAUUAGAACUCCAUAGUUAAGCAUGCUCAGGAUAGAGUAGUACUGGAAUGGGUAAUCGUCCGAGAAGUCCUAUUGUUUUACAUGCC